CAAAAAUUGAACAAAUUUGAAAUUUCUGCAAUGUUCACCUGACAUCAAGAAUCAUUUCCAGGCCCACUCAUCAAAACGUCAGAAUCAGAUUCAUGUAAACAAAUCAAUCCAUAAAAUUAUUGGAAUUUAGUCAACAAAAUCGAAUGGCGUCGGCAAAGCCACCAACACUCCCACUACUAUUUCUCGCCCGCCCAGGAGCCACCACUAGAUUUCCCAUAUCUCACGCGAACGUUAGAGGAAAAUGGCUCAAUUCCCACAUCGACAAGAAUGCUAAUCUUCGUUCUAGACUCUCCAUUCUCGCUCAUAAUCGCUCUUAUUCUCUGUGUUCUUCUCUUUCGGUUUGCCCUAGUUCUCUUAUUUCUUGUCCUUCUCUUUGCUCUCUGUUCCAAUCUCGUUUUCCUCAUCUCCGAUCUUCUUUGUCCUCCAUGACCAAUCCUCCACGAGCCAAUUCUGACCCACCUCAGUUUACUUCCUCCACAAAAACGGUGAGGGCCGUGAUCAAGGGGAGGGUGCAAGGAGUGUUCUAUAGGAACUGGACAGUCGAGAAUGCCACCCAGUUGGGGUUGAAAGGUUGGGUUAGGAACAGGAGGGAUGGUUCCGUGGAAGCACUCUUCUCUGGGGAUUCUGAUAAGGUGCAGGAGAUGGAGCAGAGAUGCCGUCGUGGUCCACCUGAUGCUAUAGUUACUGGCUUCCAGAUGUUUCCUUGCGAUGAUGACCCAGGAACUGGGUUCCAGCGCAAACCAACGGUUUGAUCCAUGCAUAUGAAUAUGCUUAAAAAGUGGAUUCCUAUUUUAGUAUGUACGCAUCUCUCCCUGCAUGAAUUUUAUUUCUAAACCGUUUUUGGGAAAUUAGGAGGAUAUACAUGUUAUUGCUGUAGCUCUGACUGUUGAAUCACUGAUCAACUUAUUUAAUGAUAUGAUAAAGAAUUAUUUUUUUUCAAUUCAAAAA
rnacentral:misc_RNA from 1 species